UUGCUUUUGUUGAUUUGUUUAUACUAUCUAAUAUUUUACAAAUUUUUAGUAACGUACUUUAUUAGAAUAUAUAAAGCUGCUAAUGUUUCCAUUUGCACAAGUGUGGAGGUUGUGCAACUAUUGAAAUUGGUUUUGCAGCUUUUGAAUUUCAAAGCUGGGAUGGUUAGUUUUUAUCUAUUUAAAAUAGUAUAGAUUUGUUAAGGAUUAAUAUAUAUGUAAUCACUGUAACUUUGUGAUUUGGAGAGGGCUAUACAAGGGUCCCGUUAUUAGAACUGGAGAAUUUCUUUUUUUGAUGUUCUUUACAUUUUAGUCAAAUUUGCUUUACUUGAUAGGUGUACGAGUUUAUAUAAGAGUCUUGCUAGGAAGUUGCAAGGAAGAAUAUAUAUUUGAGAGUUAUAUAUUGAGAAUCCAAUUAAAAGAAAGUGGAAAGGAUCAAUGAGAGAAGUUGACCGUUGUUUUCAUUUGGUUUCAGUUUAAUUUAAGAGUUUGGUCAAAGUAUGUAGUUCACUAGUUGCUCCUGGGCCUUUUAAACAAAAAAAUCUUAGUAGCUCCUGGACCUUUUAAACAAAAUAUCAUAUGGAGCGUUGUUAUAUAGGCACCAGUAGUGGUUGGUGUCUAACACCACCACAUUUUGAUGGGUACAAUUUACUAGCAGAUCAUAUGUAUUUUAUUCUAAAUAAAAAAAGCUCUUAAAAGUGUUCAUUAGACAAAUGAUAGUUGAUACAAGGGUGACAUGUAAAAGAAUAUACAAGUAUGUAUGCAUAUAUUUGUUGUGUUGAUUUUAACCGUUUUAAAAGAGCAUGUCAACAUCUGACAUUUUUCUUUUUUUAUAAUGUUGAUUAAAAUGAAUAGGUUAAUAUUUUGAUUGGUCUUAAAGCAUUGGAUUGGUAGCUAAUUGCAAGAGUUCACCUUCGACAAGCCAUAUACUACUCAAGAAAUUGAUGAAGUUAGAGAAGAAUGGGCAAUGUUAUUUUUACAUUUGGUUAGAGCAAAAUGAAUGAUGUUAUAGCUAGCUAAUUACAAUACAUGUUUAGAAAUUUUAAAUUUAUUUCGUAAAAUUUUUUGCCA